rnacentral:rRNA from 1 species
CCUACGGGAGGCAGCAGUGAGGAAUAUUGGUCAAUGGACGAGAGUCUGAACCAGCCAAGUAGCGUGAAGGAUGACUGCCCUAUGGGUUGUAAACUUCUUUUAUAAAGGAAUAAAACGAGGCACGUGUGCCUUUUUGCAUGUACUUUAUGAAUAAGGAUCGGCUAACUCCGUGCCAGCAGCCGCGGUAAUACGGAGGAUCCGAGCGUUAUCCGGAUGUAUUGGGUUUAAAGGGUGCGUAGAUGGGUUGUUAAGUCAGUUGUGAAAGUUUUCGGCUCAACCGUAAAAUUGCAAUUGAUACUGGCAGUCUUGAGUACAGUUGAGGUAGGCGGAAUUCGUGGUGUAGCGGUGAAAUGCUUAGAUAUCACGAAGAACCCCGAUUGCGAAGGCAGCUUACUAAACUGUGACUGACAUUGAUGCUCGAAAGUGUGGGUAUCAAACAGGAUUAGAUACCCGAGUAGUC